UCAACUCAUCAGGGCAAAUUGAGUGUUCACCCUGAAAUGACUGAGCACAUUCAACAGCAAAUUACUUCACCUGGUGUCGGCAAUGAGCAUUGAUUUGCUCUGGCUGACCAGAGUUCUGUAACAAUGCAUUUCCUCAGUCUUGAACCAGACCAAACAAUCAAAGUGGUAAUCAUGAUACUUUGCGAGAGGUGGUGGAGUUUACAGUGGAAAAGUGCUGCUCUGAGAUCAUCAGGGGCAUCUUCAAUCGUCCGCAAGUGUCUGGCAGGACUGGUGGAUACCUUGUUAGAUUGAGGGGAUAUUUCAAGUAAAGUUUCAAGACAAUCCUCAGCCAAUUCAAGUGACCAGAGAAGACCUCACAGAAGAUCACAGAAGACCUCAGCAACCAGUAAAUAAUGCCCUAGAAACCACUGAGAACAACAUAGCAAUGCAUGUAAAACAUGUUACAUUUAUAGUUUUAUGUUGUUUUAUGUUGUUAAAGGCAACCUUGAUUUUGGUAAGCAACUCAAUGGUAUUAAUUCUUCAAUUUAGUAGAAAACGAAGAGCAUCAUGAAAUGGGGAAAUUCCUACAUGUUGUAAACUUCCUUUCACAGCCCAUACUACAGGGAAUGUUGAAUCCAGCACAAGAGGGCAGCAUUCAAACCACAGCUGCUUUAGCCAGGAUCUCCACCUGAAACAACAAC
ensembl:lncRNA